rnacentral:rRNA from 1 species
UACGUAGGGUGCGAGCGUUGUCCGGAAUUAUUGGGCGUAAAGGGCUCGUAGGCGGUUUGUCGCGUCGGGAGUGAAAACACCGGGCUUAACUCGGUGCUUGCUUUCGAUACGGGCAGACUAGAGGUAUGCAGGGGGAGAACGGAAUUCCUGGUGUAGCGGUGAAAUGCGCAGAUAUCAGGAGGAACACCGGUGGCGAAGGCGGUUCUCUGGGCAUUACCUGACGCUGAGGAGCGAAAGUGUGGGGAGCGAACAGG